rnacentral:rRNA from 1 species
GAUGAACGCUAGCGGCAGGCCUAAUACAUGCAAGUCGAACGGAUAUAUGUUUUUCGGAAUAUAUAUUAGUGGCGCACGGGUGAGUAACACGUACAUAACUUGCCCUCAAGCGGGGGAUAGCCUUGGGAAACUGAGAGUAAUACCCCAUAGAAUUAUUGGACGGCAUCGUUUGAUAAUUAAAACUACGGUGUUUGGGGAUAGAUGUGCGUCUGAUUAGCUAGUUGGUGAGGUAACUGCUCACCAAGGCGACGAUCAGUAGGGGGCGUGAGAGCGUGGCCCCCCACACGGGUACUGAGACACGGACCCGACUCCUACGGGAGGCAGCAGUAAGGAAUAUUGGUCAAUGGAGGGAACUCUGAACCAGCCAUGCCGCGUGAAGGAUGACGGCCCUCUGGGUUGUAAACUUCUUUUGGAUGGGGCGAAAAAACGGGAUUUAUCCUGGACUGACGGUACCAUCAGAAUAAGCACCGGCUAACUCCGUGCCAGCAGCCGCGGUAAAGUAG